rnacentral:rRNA from 1 species
UACGUAGGGUGCAAGCGUUAUCCGGAAUUAUUGGGCGUAAAGAGCUCGCAGGCGGUUUGUCGCGUCUGCUGUGAAAACCCGAGGCUCAACCUCGGGCCUGCAGUGGGUACGGGCAGACUAGGGUGCGGUAGGGGAGAUUGGAAUUCCUGGUGUAGCGGUGGAAUGCGCAGAUAUCAGGAGGAACACCGAUGGCGAAGGCAGAUCUCUGGGCCGUAACUGACGCUGAGGAGCGAAAGCAUGGGGAGCGAACAGG